UUUUAUAAGAAGUCAUAAUGACAAAAGCAUUCAAAGCUGUUUGCUUAAUUUCAGUUGCUAAGUGUUACACUUCAACUCCUGAUUGAUAGUUUUAUUUGGUCAUCAUAGAAACACUUUAGCUGCCCACUACAAACAACAAAACAGUGUGAUGUUUAGCUGUGAAGGAGUAUGGAGCUUUCAGACCUUCUGAAGGGUUAGUUGAAUUGAACUGUGGAACUGAAUGCAGCCAAACGUCUCCACGAAGUGAUUCCCAGAAUGGGCUGCCAUAGCAGUAAAGGCACUCUUGUGCUGGAUGGAUCCCACAAAGAUCAAGAUCAUCCCCAAAAAGAAAAAGAAGACCAGAAUUCUAAAAUUGAAAAUCCUACAAAGGAUAAUCUACCAAAUGAGAAGAACGAUGAGCUUGAAUUAGUAACGAAUUAAAUAAGACUGUUUCCCUGGUGAAGAACACAAGGCAUCGUGAACAAGAUGCAGCGAAGGAAUUCAAACCAUUAAACCUUUUUUGGAAAUUAAAACCGUCAUUUAUCUUCAUGGUCAAGAUGUUCAGAUGCAGUGAUCCAAAGGAUUCGUCAGCCUCAAAAUACUUCAGGCAGUUUGAUCAAAUCUAAAUCAGUAGAAUCAUGUUUUGAAUUAUUUUAAAGCAUUGAAAUUGAAAUCCUUUUACAAGGAUGUUUAUUUUAGCAGUAAUCAUUUUGCACAUUAGCAGAGGUUGUAAACCCUGUAGUCGAACAUUGUAAAUUGUGUUGUGUUAUUAUCAUAUACCACACUUGUAGUUACCACUAAAUAUAUUGGUGUGUUCAUCAGCAGUGUAAUAUGUAGCACAAGAUGGGGUUUUAUAAAACAUUGAUACAUAAUCACAUGAUUUUGCUGGAUGUAUUUCACUGCACUGUUCCAGCAGGUAAAAUAUAGAAAUAAAACAUUACAUCAAGAA